rnacentral:rRNA from 1 species
UGGGGAAUAUUGGACAAUGGGCGCAAGCCUGAUCCAGCCAUGCCGCGUGAGUGAUGAAGGCCCUAGGGUUGUAAAGCUGUUUCACCGGUGAAGAUAAUGACGGUAACCGGAGAAGAAGCCCCGGCUAACUUCGCGCCAGCAGCCGCGGUAAUACGAAGGGGGCUAGCGUUGUUCGGAUUUACUGGGCGUAAAGCGCACGUAGGCGGACUAUUAAGUCAGGGGUGAAAUCCCGGGGCUCAACCCCGGAACUGCCUUUGAUACUGGUAGUUUUGAGUUCGGGAGAGGUGAGUGGAAUUCCGAGUGUAGGGGUGAAAUUCGUAGAUAUUCGGAGGAACACCAGUGGCGAAGGCGGCUCACUGGCUCGAUACUGACGCUGAGGUGCGAAAGCGGGGGGAGCAAACAGG